GGUUAUUCUUUUGUUUGGAAAAACUUCAGCAAAACGACGCCGUAACGUAAUUCGGUAAUUCCAAUACUUCUUCUCCAAAUAUAGAAAUAAGGAUUUCAGAGAGGAACCUGAGAUAUCAAUCAAAUACUCACAGAAAUGUCUCCGCCCGCUUCAGUCGCCGAUCGUCGCACCGCCGCCUUACGGAGUCGCUCCCCGACCUUAAUAGCACCACCACGCUCGCCGACCAUCACGGCAUCUCCAUUCAGGAUAUUGCCAGCAAAAUUUUCUUUCUUGCGCUACAAUUCUGCGCGGUAUGCAUUAUCUCUGGACAUGGCACUAUUUCAAGCUGCACACUUCGUCGGUCGGGUUCUCCUGGCGAGAAUUCUAAACAUGAGGCAAUUUUCGAACUGCUUUCUUUGACGGGCUACUUUUUGCCAAGUAAUGCUGGCAUUUAUAGAAGAUCUGGUGCGGUGACUGUCUCUUUGGCUUUUCCAGAUGGUCGUACUAUUUGGGGUCAACUGGCUGGUCCACUGGUAGCUGCAGGUCCUGUGCAGAGACGAACCUCAGAAAUCAAUCAAUCACAAGAAAUGUCUCCUCCGUUUCAAUAGCCGAUCGCCGCACCGCCAUCUCACGGAGUCGCUCCCCGACCACUGCACCACCGCUCUCUCACACCAUCACCGCAUCUCAAUUCAGAUGAUGGAAUUUCAAGUUCCCGUGGUUCCCCUUUAACACAUCGGAACUUUACAGUGAAUUCUGGCGAGGAUAUUGCCAGCAAAAUUGUCUUUCUUGCGCUACAAUUCCGCGCGGUAUGCAUUAUCUCUGGACAUGGCACUAUUUCAAGCUGCACACUUCGUCCGUCGGGUUCUUCUGGCGAGACUUCUAAAUAUGAGGGAAUUUUUGAACUGCUUUCUUUGACAGGCAACUUUUUGCCAUGUAAUGCUGGCAUCUAUAGAAGAGCUGGUACGGUGGCUGUCUCUUUGGCUUUUCCAGAUGGUCGAACUAUUGGGGGUCAACUGGCUGGUCCAUUGGUAGCUGCAGGUCCUGUGCAGGUUGUGGUAUGCAGUUUUCGUCCAAAGAUGCCUCGUAAGCUGCGGGAGCAGAAGAAAGACAAGGAGGAGAUUGCAGAUGAUAUUUCAUCAAGUGUCCCCCCUGCAUAAACAUUUAGGUUGGGUUAUGUGAGAAUUAAAUAGAUUUGAGUUGUUUGGUUUUAAAGUUUAACAAUAAUAUCUUUAAACUUAAAACAAUAUUAAUGAUCAUGUUUUGUGGAAUGAAACCUAUCAUGACAUUGGUUUUCAAGUGAAUGAAUGAUAUUGGUUUUUUUAUCAAUACUCAAUGUUGAGCCAGUCUAACCCCAAUCAUUUAGAAGCUGGGGUUGUUGCAUACUAUACUAUAUAUUAAACAUUCAAUGUUCCUCCAAAUCAAGGUAAAUGCCUUAUUCUA